rnacentral:rRNA from 1 species
UGGUGAGGUAACGGCUCACCAAGGCGACGAUGCGUAGCCGACCUGAGAGGGUGAUCGGCCACACUGGGACUGAGACACGGCCCAGACUCCUACGGGAGGCAGCAGUAGGGAAUCUUCGGCAAUGGGCGAAAGCCUGACCGAGCAACGCCGCGUGAGCGAUGAAGGCCUUCGGGUCGUAAAGCUCUGUUGUUAGAGAAGAACAAGUACGAGAGUAACUGCUCGUACCUUGACGGUACCUAACCAGAAAGCCACGGCUAACUACGUGCCAGCAGCCGCGGUAAUACGUAGGUGGCAAGCGUUAUCCGGAAUUAUUGGGCGUAAAGCGCGCGCAGGCGGUCUCUUAAGUCUGAUGUGAAAGCCCACGGCUCAACCGUGGAGGGUCAUUGGAAACUGGGAGACUUGAGUGCAGGAGAGAAAAGUGGAAUUCCACGUGUAGCGGUGAAAUGCGUAGAGAUGUGGAGG